rnacentral:rRNA from 1 species
AUACGAAGGGGGCUAGCGUUGUUCGGAAUUACUGGGCGUAAAGCGCGCGCAGGCGGUUUGUAAAGUUGAGAGUGAAAUCCCGGGGCUUAACCUCGGAAUUGCUUUCAAAACUCACAGACUAGAGUAUGGUAGAGGAGAGUGGAAUUCCUAGUGUAGAGGUGAAAUUCGUAGAUAUUAGGAGGAACACCGGUGGCGAAAGCGACUCUCUGGGCCAUUACUGACGCUGAGGCGCGAAAGCGUGGGGAGC